UGAAUUCACAAGGAAUGCUCCCAAAGCACAGAGAUGUUAAAUUACUCAGUCAAGGUCACGCAGCAGUGAGUAGUGGAGCUGGAAUUUGAGCUCUAACAGUCUGCUCCAGAACUCAGGCCUUGCUGCUGGCGUCAGGCCAGGCACAGAGAGCUGAUGGAAGCAGGAGGAGCUGAUGUGAAGUUAUGCGACACACAUGGCCUUUUAGGAAUGUUCCAUUUGGCUGCUGCACUCCCAUCCACCCUGUGUACCCAUCCUCCAGAGGCGAUCACCUUGGCUGUUGGACUCUGAGGCCCGAGUGCCUUCGCACGGUGUCGAGAGCGCCAUGGACCUCUACCUCUGUGGGUUUUGUGGCUGUGGGACCUCAGUGCCUUCCUGUGCGUGGCUGGCACUCUUCGCGCCCUGUUCGCGAUGACUCGGUAGUAGAGAAGUCCCUCAAGUCCUUGAAGGACAAGAACAAGAAGCUGGAGGAAGGCGGCCCGGUGUACAGCCCCCCCGCAGCGGUGGUGGUGAAGAAGCCUCUGGGGCAGAGGGUGCUGGACGAGCUGAAGCACUACUACCACGGCUUCCGCCUGCUGUGGAUUGACGCCAAGAUCGCCGCACGCACGCUCUGGCGCAUCCUCAAUGGCCACACCCUCACCCGCCGGGAGCGCAGGCAGUUUCUCCGGAUCUGCGCUGACCUCUUCCGCCUGGUGCCAUUCCUUGUGUUCGUGGUGGUGCCGUUCAUGGAGUUUCUGCUGCCUGUUGCUGUGAAGCUCUUCCCCAACAUGUUGCCAUCCACAUUUGAGACUCAGUCACUCAAGGAGGAGAGGCUGAAGAAGGAGCUUCGGGUCAAGCUGGAGCUGGCCAAGUUCCUCCAGGACACCAUCGAGGAGAUGGCCUUGAAGAACAAGGCAGCCAAGGGCAGCGCCACCAAAGACUUCUCUGUGUUUUUCCAGAAGGUGCUGUGAUACAUCUGAGUCCCUGUGACCUCACCAGGGAGCCUUCCCUGAUUUUCUGUUUCCCCUUCGCUGUGCUCAGCAGAGUGGAGCUCCCCCAAGUGCUGGCUGGCGCUUGAGAGUUUACCCAGGAGGCUCAGUUGGGGGCCAGUGGAGUGUCAGGAGUCUGGCCCCCAUGAGCUCCCAGUGAGUUGAGCUGUGGUGGCUGCACCUCGUCAGCCUUCAGAAUUAUGGGUGUCUGUGUCUUGUCACCCUGCAGCUGUCCAGGAGCAGUAGAAUCUGACCCAUGAGGAGCCUGAGACCCUGAUGUUGUGAGGUGUGGGUGGCUUGGCCGGGCUCCUCUGCUGGGCACUGCCCUCUGGCUGGAGUCAGUCAAGAAGGUCCCAGGUCCCAGGGGCUGGUCAGAGGCCUGGACUGUGGGAGCAGUGGGGGCUGGAGAGGAGGAGCGGCCCUCGAGGUUUCCUGCGGUCAUGUGGCCAGUGAGGUGAGGAUGGGGGAGAGAGCAGGUGCCAUGGACGAGAUCCCUGAGGACUAGAUGGGGUUGACGAGUCCAGUGUCGUUGGCUUGAGGGACUUCUGCCACUUUGGAGUGAGAAGGAUGUGUCUAAAGUGCAGGAAGAGCUUAAACCAGGGACUAGAAACUCCAGCCAUGUGUGUGCGUUGUCUGUGGGGUUUUCCCGCUGCAGCACAGAGGCGAGUGGUUUCCAUGGCUGCAAAGCCAGAAAUACUUGCUGUCUGGCCUUUGACAGAAAAGACUGCCAGGCCGAGGCCUAACCACGGAGAAGUCUCUUGGGAGGAGGCGACACAGCCAUGGGGCUGCUGAGCCCCCCAAGGAGUGAGUGGUGGUUCCAGCAAGAUGUUCUAGGGGGAGCCAUGCUUUGGGAGCCUCACCCAGGAUGUUGCGCCUUGCAGAGCAGGAGGAGGAGCCCGUCCCAACCUUUCCUGGGCCACCCAGCUGCCAAGAAGGAUGUGCUUGCAGUCACCUGCAUUGGGGUGUGCUGUGUAGGGUGGCCCCCAGGAGCACACCUGAAACAGUGUCUCAGAGAUGGCAUCCUGCAUGUUACGAUUUGAGUUGGGCACCAAGUCAGGCUCGUCCUCCCUCAUCUGUCCCCUCUGCUAGGUACCCUCCUAGCCCAGCUCUUGGCAGAGACUGAGCUGGUGGCUUGUCCCUCAGGUGGGAGGAACUGCAGAGGGUCACCCAAAGGGCCCUGAGUGAUCUGCGCUAAGGGACUCUAGCUCUCCCUAAAGAGCUAGAUGGCCACCCCUCACCCAAGGCUCAGGCAGUCAUCCCUGGGAGAUGUAGGUGCACACAGGUGCGCCUCUUCCUGCCCCAGAGCAGCAGGAUCCCGGCCACUUCUGUGGCAGAGAGAGGAUCACAGGACCUGCAUGCAGCAGCCUGUGGGCCCAGACCUGUCCCCCAGCAGACAGCAGCCUCAGCUUUGCUGGCUCAGGCAGGAGAGGUCCACAGGCCAGACGCCACCUCUGCUCAGGCUAGCCCAGCACUGAAGUCAGAAGUCAAUGGUUUGAGGCCGAGCUGGGCAGAUGACUUGAGAUUGGGUAUUUGAGACCAGCCUGGCCAACAUGGUGAAACCCCAUCUCUACUAAAAUACAAAAAUUAGCUGGGUGUGGUGGCGCAGCCUGUAAUCCCAGCUACUCGGGAGGCUAAGGCAGGAGAAUCCCUUGAACCCAGGAGGUGGAGGUUGCAGUGAACCGAGAUUACACCACUGCAUUCCAGCCUGGGUGACAGAGCGAGACCCUGUCUCAAACAAAAAAAA
rnacentral:sRNA from 1 species